rnacentral:rRNA from 1 species
CCUACGGGUGGCAGCAGUGGGGAAUAUUGGGCAAUGGAGGCAACUCUGACCCAGCAAAGCCGCGUGAAUGAUGAAGGUCUUCGGGUUGUAAAGUUCUGUGAUGGGGGAUGAACACAAUGACGGUACCCCAAUAGCAAGCCACGGCUAACUACGUGCCAGCAGCCGCGGUAAUACGGAGGUGGCAAGCGUUAUCCGGAAUGACUGGGGGUAAGGGGUGCGUAGGUGGUUUAGUAAGUUGGCGGUGUAAUUCCGGGGCUCAACCGCGGCACUACCGCAAAAACUAUUAGACUAGAGUGCAGGUGGGGUAAGUGGAAUUCCUAGUGUAGCGGUGGAAUGCGUAGAUAUUACGAGGAACAUCAGGGGCGAAGGCAACUUACUAAACUGUAACUGACACUGAGGCACGAAAGCGUGGGGAGCAAACAGGAUUAGAUACCCCAGUAGUC